GGCAGCAGUAGCUUAGUGGUUAAGACAUUGGACUACUCCUCGGAAGGUCGUGAGUUCAAGCCCCAGCACGGUCA